UUUGGUGGAGGAACCAAACUCAUCAUUGACUUGGGUGUGGUGAGACCCACCCUCACUGUCCUCCCUCAAUCCAAAGAGGAAGAGAAGCAGUGCAGUGCCACUCUGGUCUGUUUGGCCACCGGCGGCUUCCCCUCAAACUGGAAGCUGGGCUGGAAGGUGGGGAGCACCAGCACAUCCUCAGGUGUGUCAAGCAGCCUGGAAGUCUUGGGGACAGACGGCCACUACAGCUGGAGCAGCACCCUCAGCCUCUCUGCAGACCAGUGGAGGAAGGCGGGCUCAGUGAGCUGUGAGGCCAGUCUGAGUGGACAGAGCCCUGUCACUCAAACCCUGGACCCUGACCACUGCUCAGAGUAGAGCUUCAGCAACACUUCCUGUCUGCAAAUAAUACUGCGUUUCCUCUGUUGCAAUAUUUCUGAAAAAAAUUGAUUCUUUAUUAAUAUGCAUGCAGAUUUCACCAACCAAUCUUAUCCAUAUUAUGCUUUAAAAAUAUGCUGUUUAA